rnacentral:lncRNA from 1 species
CCAUACAAACAAUGGUUUUUUUUUGCAUUUAGUCCCCUGGUAAAUUUUUAUUUUAAAAUUAGUCCUGUCAAAAUUUAAUUUGCAAAAAUUGUCCUAGGCCUGCCACGUCAGCGUCACGCGGGCAGGGCCAGGGCCCGUGUGUUAAGUUGAACACGGUGAACCAUUCACCGUGUUUAGUACGUAUUUUUUUGUAUAUUGAAAAGAGGAAUAGGAAAUAGGGAUGUCAAUAGAUAUGGAUAUUCGAAAUAUUAUCCGAAUCCAAACCCGAAUAAAUUAUAUAUAUAUAUAUAUAUAUAUAUAUAUAUAAUUUAUUUUUAUUUAUUUAUAUAAUAUAUAAAAUAUUUAAUAAUUUUUAUUUUUUAGAUCUUCAUCCAAUGGUAUAGAUUUUUAAAAUCCGCCAGGUUCAGAUUCAGAUUUUGAGUUUUUGGUAGGAUAUGGAUAUGGGUAUGAAUUUUUAAAAUCCGUCGGGUUCGAAUCCGGGUUUGGAUUUUAAUUUGAUUUUCGGGUUCGGAUUCGAAUUUUUGAAAAAUAGAAGAAAAGGAAUACAAAUUUUCUAUUCAUUUUUUCAAUAUAAUACAUACUAAAUACGGUGAACCAUUCACCGUGUUCACCGUGUUUAACUUAAAUACCGCCCCUAGUCCCGCCCGCAUGGCGUUGACGUGACGCCUACAUGACAGGCCUAGGGCUAUUUUUGCAAAUUAAAUUUUGACGGGACUCUUUUAAAAUAAAAAUUUGCCAGAGGCUAAAUGCAAAAAAAGCACU